UUAAUUUUUUUUCCUGUGGGAAAUAGUUACAGACGGAAAAUCUGUGUGUAAUUUAAAUUUUUCGUCAGUAAAUAUUGAGAUAACCCUAAUCUUAUCUCUAUCCACUCGAUCCAUUUACACUCUACCCAUAUCAAAUGAGCUUGUUCCUCUCUCCGUCACCGAGUUGCUUCUUCUCUCCAUCACACCAGCUUCGUCCGCCGCUGUUGCCGUCGCUGACGUCACAGAUCUCUCUCCGUCGUACCUUGCGUCGCACGGGCUCCCUCCGCCGCCGCAUCCAACCCUAACCCCAAAGCUUCGUCGCGCUUCCAACCCUAAUUCCAGAACUUCGUCGCGCUUCCAACCCCUGCUUCGCCGCUCCCUCCAUCGACGCUCCCUCCGUCUCAAAGCCUCCGUCGUGCUCACUCUCUCGUAAGCCUUCAAACGUCACUCCUUCCUCCAUGGCUGAAACCCGUAACGCUCUGUUUUUCCUCCUGCGUCGCCGAUCUCUGUCUCCUUCUGCGUGUGGCUGUGCUGAAGCUCCAUGGGAAGGAUAUAAAACGGAUUCCAUGGGUGAAGCUUAACCACAGCUACAGAAGUACCGCGAGACUCGAUUGAAGCAGUACAAGAACGUAACUACGAGAACCUCUCGUUCUCGUGAGGAUCUCGACAAGGAGUGUUUGGAAGUGCAGAAGGAGAAGGCCUUCUGUAUUGGCACCACUUGGGGCAAUGAUCACCACAUGUUUGAUACAAUGACUGUGAUGUCUUUUACCUUCAUUUUUAUCCCUUUGUUCUACGAUACAUUACAUUACAAGAAUGUGUUUUGUUUUAUCCCUUUAGUUUUUCUAUAAAUUACUUAUCUUCAUAUUCAGUGAUGUGCAGAUUCUCCUUACAUGAAAAGGGUACUUUGUACUGUUCAAUUUGUGUGUUUGUUCUAUAACUUGAAAGCUUAUGGUUGCUUCUUAAUGACGGUGUUUCUGUUUAUUUGGUUGUUUGACUUGUAUUAGUUUCAGAUUAGUUUUCCUUUUGCUGAUAUAUAUGUCUGCCACUAACCUCUCUUUUUAAUUUAGAUCUACAAUUGCAGUUGUCCUGAGGUGAGCAGAAAGUAUCAGUUUUCGGCAUAUUUAGAAAUGUUUUGUUAUUGGAGGAACUCAAGUGAAGUUUGGAAGUUUAGAAGAUCAGGGGUAUAAUUGUGCUCAAUCUACCUGUUACAUAGAGCUCGUGAACUGUGUGAAGAAUAUUUUCAUUCUUUUUCAUUUAGUUUAGAAAUGCAACUCAUGAUUAAGUUUUAUUAGUUGCUUCAAGUUUCAUGUUUUAGGCCUCUUAUAUAUAUGCUUCUGAUGAUGGUUUUGCAAUUAAAAUUUUAUGGAUUGGUACAAUCUUCAGAUUCACUUCGAUGUAUCAACUGUAUAUACAUGCUUUAAGUUCACUUUAGCCCUUUAUGGGGAAAAAGUGUAGCAGCAUAUUUUUGCUUGUCAUUUGCUGUUUUUUAUUUUAUUUUUUGGUGUUGGAAAAUCUUGUAAGAUAUGUGCCUUGUUUCAUAACCAUGACGAAUAUUCUUGCCCAAUGAUGAAGCUGAAGCAUGGAGGGUCUGCGGCAAAUAUGGUGUCAACAGCAUCGCUCUCUUUCUCAGCUUCUUUUCCUCCGAGCAAUUUCUUCCAAGAUUUUUGUCAAAGGUACAUAGCUACACACAGCCUUUUCGUUUUCCUGGGACUCUCCCUCUCUUGUGUAAUAUCAUUAUUACUAUUUGCAAACUGGAGUACCAAAAAUUUAGUUCGAUUUUUUCAAUAGUCUGCUAAUUUGAGCUGUUUUCUUGAUUUAUCUUAAAGUUCUGUUCAAGGAAUUGCUUUUACUAUGGAGAUUUGAAUAACUGCAGAGCACGGCUGGUUAUUCCUGCUAUUGGUUUUAGCAUUGGAUUCAAAUGAAUUGAUUCAACAAUGGGGGUUUAUACUUAAUCAAAUCUGUUUUGCACAUCAUUGCUAUAAACGAUGAUUUCAGAAAUAGAAGUGAAACAAAUGGUCCUAGAGCAAUUAGAAAAAGGAAAUAAUAGCAUAUUACAAUGCAACUAAGUAGUUGCAGCCGCCAGCCACCAGCCGCCUGAGUAGGAAUCAAGAAAUAACUUACAUUACUUUAGAUUGUGGUAUAUGGAAAAAGGUUUAGUUUGAGUACAAUUGAGAUAUAAUAAUUUAUAUUGUCUUCUUUUAUUUGUUAAAUUUUUUGGGAGAAGUAGUGAUACACUGCUAGCCAAUAAUAAUAAACCUCUUCUCAGUUGUGUUUGUUGUGACACUACUGCAAAGGAAUUGAAUAAACAGACAUGCAAGAGGUUAUAUGCAGAAUCAUGUUAUGGAUUUGGCUCACCAAGCUCUUGAUGCCUGAUUCUAUUUCCAUUGCUUAUUUCAUCAAACAGUUCAUAACAUCCAUUUUCAAUUAUUACUUCCUUUUCCAAAAACAAUAAGAAAACAAAAAUAAGCUAAAUUUUUUCAUGAGGUAUUAAAUUUGGAUCCUGCAUUACACAUUUGAUUUAUAUGAGUGUUUUAUAUUCUUCCAUUUCUAGAAAAAAUACAAGAUUAUUUAUUAAAGGAGCAUAUAAAAACAAUGACUAUGAUGCUUCUCCAAGAUUAUUUAUGGUUGUUCCAUUUAUCUCAGUUACCUUUGAGAAUAUGUAGUGGUUGUUGAAGUACAUAACAACUAGCAUAAGGUUAAUUUAUUAUGAUAUGUGUAACUGGUUUAACUCAUCCGCAUUGAUUAAAAAGGAAGUGAUAAUCAGCAGCCUAAGGACUAGAACAUUUUGGCCUUAUGGUAUGUAGAGUAAACUGGUUGAUAAUGCUCACUGUUAAAUAACUAGAACAUUUUGGCCUUAUGGUAUGCCUUGCAUUAGAUUAAAUUUCUACAUUCCUGUUUAUUAGUUAUUUUAAUGAGAUAGGACAUCUUUACUAUUAGACUUAUACAAUUAAGUUGACUUUUGAUGGGUUUGAAAGAGAUUAUAUAUCCAACUUUACUGUUUGCCUGGUUUUCAGUUUCAAGUGGUGUGACUGAAUUUCUAAUGCACAUAUGUGAUAUCAUGUUCUUGAGACUACACUUCAGGCUCUCAUGUUCUUGCUUUUCUUCUUGUGUUGAUGUU